GUACUAUUGUGACCCUGAGGAUGUUAUGGCUUUGCCUUUUCCUCAGCCCUGGGCCAUUAGGGGAAGAGCUUUAGAACACCAGUUGCUUGGUUCUGUGGGCUUUAUAAUCCCUCAGAUUUACCCACGUCAGUCAGUGUUAUUUUUCUCAGGAGAGUUUCUAGAUGUCAGCCCUCUGUUUUGCCUCUCUCCUAUUCCUGUUCGUGUUUCUCUUAGACCUCUCCUGUUACUUCAAACCCAGUCAAAAGUAUCUCUGCAAUGAGUGCCCCAUUUUCAUGUCCACAUCAUACCACUUGGCUUUAGAACCCAGAAGAAUCUUUGCCCCUCUUCAGCCCUGCCAAAUUAAAGAUUUUGCUUCUUAACAUGCUCUUGAUCACUCUGUUUACCCUGGCAGACUUACCUAGGAGCUUCCUGGCACUCCUGAUCUAUCUCCCUUCCAGGUCUCUUUUCAUCAUCAGUCUUCUCAGGAACCAUCACUGGUUUGGGAUGAUGCCUCCCAGCCCACCUGGCAGUUUGGGCUUCCCUCUUCAGACCUCCUAUGUUCCUAGCCUUUCCUUGGGCU
rnacentral:lncRNA from 1 species